AAAAAGUUAUCUCAAUGUUCCUUUACUAUUUCUGAUAAAAGUUGUUCUGAGAUUUCUUACAUAAAAUGUAAGUGUUACAUAGAAAGAAUACACGAACGGAAGAAAGCAGAGAAGAUAAAGAACGUAACAUUUCUUUCUUAUAUUUUAGGUUUUAUUUGCGACAGACCUUUGUUAGAAGAUAAACAAAGAUUUCCAGAUUCGUCAUUCACUGCCCCAGCUUCUUCAGAAGGUCGCAGUCCCUCUGAUGCAAGAAUAUCUAGUGGCAGUUCUUGGUGUGCUCCUGCAGCGGAUGGCAAACAUUAUCUUCAAGUGGACUUUGGAAGACGUUAUGUGAUCUAUAGUUUUGUAACAUUUGGUGACACUACUAACCCAAAAUGGGUGACCACAUACAACUUAAACUACACUGUUGAUGGGAUAAACUGGAAAUCAGUUCGGGACCAUGCGGUAAUUGCUAUUUACAUUAUUUUCAAGCUAAUACAUUUUAUAAUAAAUUUUGUGAUGGGACGAAAACGGUAUAACUUAAAGAAUAUAGUAAUAUUUCUUAAUUGCAUAAUUGUCUUCAGAUUUCGGGAAACAAAGAUGCUUACAAUGAUGCAGUCAUACAAGAUUUCCCUGGAGGGAUAACAACACGAGCUUUACGGUUUAUUCUAUUAACAUAUGUUGGUGAACCGUGUAUGAGAA
rnacentral:lncRNA from 1 species